UAACAACCUUAUGAGGUGAUUUAUUAUUAUUCCCACUCGACAGAUAAGGAAACUGAGGCUCAGGAAAGUUACGUAUGAGAGGAGGGUUCCUGUAGUUACUACUGUAAGUGGGCGAACUGAGAUUUAAAGCCAGGUCUUCCUGAUACUGGAGCUCUUGCCCAGGGCACUCUGCCAUGGUGUCUCCAAGGAACGACACACAUGCAAGCACCUCACAGAGGGCCUGGCACAUACUAGGAGCUCAGUAAUAGUUGGCUGUCUUCCUUCAAUCAAGAAGUGUAUCUAGGAGGGAGUCUAGGGUGAAGCAGGCACAUAAACAGGUGAAUAGGGUGGGUAUAAAACCUCAUCCUGCCCUCAGGUGGUACACACUGCCCAGUCAUAAGUUCUGACGAAGAAAAGCCUCAGGUUCUUGGGGGCUUCCAGUGGGACAUCUGGAAGAAGGCUUUGUUUCAGGCAAGACGUGAGAAGGCAGAGUGCUGCUCCUCGUCCACGCAUGCAGUGCAACGGUGUCAUCACCGGGUACAACGUUCCUGGCAGACCUCUUUUCUAGGGGAGGACACAGGAAGGCAAGGAGGAUGCAGAAGAGUCACUAGAGGGUUUGGGAGCUAAACUUGGUGUUCCUGAGUGACAAAUGCCUCUGUGUCCCCUGUGCUAACCCAAACCCACAGCCCAUGACCCAUAUGUGGAAGAGCAAGCUGUCAGUCAAGGCCUGGUCUUUGGAAUCUCUUCUUUGGGAAAAAACCAACGUGGGGCUGCCACAGAGCCAUGAAACAAAUGCACAGAGCUAUUUUGAGCAACUGUCCCCAGGGAUCCUGAUAGCACAACUUGUGUAACUGGAACUAGGUCACCAAGUAAUCUCACCAGUGUCAGAAAAAAUGCAUGCAGAAAGAACACCAGCUCAGGAGAAUGACAGAGGACCGCUUUCUCUGACUCUCGUUCAAGGGAGAGAAGUUGGCUUCAGGAUGAAAAAAUCCCAGGUGCGUUCUGACGGCCUCAGCUGGGAACAGUUGCCUGCACCUGGGCCUCUCGCCGUGGGGAAGUAUCUAAGUCUCAGAGCCGCCCACAGCGGCCACGUGAGUGGACUGGGGAAGAGCUGCUCCCUGCACACGCGAGUCCUCUGCCCAGGGCUCAUCAACUUCAUCAAAGUGUGCUCUCAGAUAGCCAGAUGUGGUAAAGGAUCUAAAAAAUGAA